UGCUGAUGUGUUGCUGUUAGAGGCUUGGGGUGUUGCUGUGUGAGCGGCUCUGGAGCUGUGAGGAUGGGAUUGGAGAGCCCUGGAAAGAGGAUGGGAAGGGGCCCUCCAUUGAGGCUGUGCAUAAGCAGUGGCAGUCAGUGCAGAGCAGUGAGGAAAGGAGCCAGCUUUAGGAGGUGUGGGCAUAGGGCUGGUUGGGCUGGGGCACAGAGAAGGCUGCAGUGUGGCUGUGGCUGAUUUGAACUCAUCCUGGGUGCUGCAGGUCAGCACAGGGUAGAAUUGGUGUUCAGGCUGAUCUCCAAGCAGAAGAAGGGAAGGUAACCAUGUAUGGCACUGUGUGCAAAUGAAAUGUAGAGGAGGAAAGUUUCCUAGUGUUCCGUGGCUGAGAUUCAGAGUCUGUGCUCAGUGCAGGCAGCUUCAGAGAUGUUCCUCGUGUCCUGGGUAACAUUCCCUGCCAGUGAGACCACCGUGAAACUUUUUUUUGCUGUGACAUUGUAAUGGGAGGUGGAGACACCUCGAGGAGAAGGUCGAAACAGACAGCAGCAGUUGCAGGCAGUAAUGUCUGUCUAUGACUGGAGAAAAUCCGGCCCCAAUUACAGAAAUGUCAGGAAGACUCUCCAUGUUUCAGAUCUGUUUCGGUACGUUUUCACUUCAUGAUGCCGAGUACUGACGCUCUCAGGAGGUUGCAGAAAAAGGACAUAAAACCAUAAUAAGUUUUCAGAGAGAGCAGGCAGUGUGUAUGAUACCACUGAAAGAGGGAAGCAGGUAACACUAUGGGGUGUGGGCACAUAAUAUCCCACAGAUAAUCC